rnacentral:rRNA from 1 species
AUGGUUAAGUUAGAAAGGGCGCACGGUGAAUGCCUUGGCACUAGGAGCCGAUGAAGGACGGGACUAACACCGAUAUGCUUCGGGGAGCUGUAAGUGAGCUUUGAUCCGGAGAUUUCCGAAUGGGGAAACCCACUGUUCGUAAUGGAACAGUAUCUUUAUCUGAAUACAUAGGAUAUUGAAGGCAGACCCGGGGAACUGAAACAUCUAAGUACCCGGAGGAAGAGAAAGCAAAUGCGAUUUCCUGAGUAGCGGCGAGCGAAACGGAAUUAGCCCAAACCAAGAGGCUUGCCUCUUGGGGUUGUAGGACACUCUAUACGGAGUUACAAAGGAACGAAGUAAAUGAAGCGACCUGGAAAGGUCCGUCAAAGAAGGUAACAACCCUGUAGUUGAAACUUCGUUCCCUCUUGAGUGGAUCCUGAGUACGGCGGAACACGUGAAAUUCCGUCGGAAGCUGGGAGGACCAUCUCCCAAGGCUAAAUACUACCUAGUGACCGAUAGUGAACCAGUACCGUGAGGGAAAGGUGAAAAGCACCCCGGAAGGGGAGUGAAAGAGAUCCUGAAACCGUGUGCCUACAAGUAGUCAGAGCCCGUUAACGGGUGAUGGCGUGCCUUUUGUAGAAUGAACCGGCGAGUUACGAUCCCAUGCAAGGUUAAGCUGAUAAGGCGGAGCCGUAGCGAAAGCGAGUCUGAAUAGGGCGUUUAGUAUGUGGUUGUAGACCCGAAACCAGGUGAUCUACCCAUGUCCAGGGUGAAGUUCAGGUAACACUGAAUGGAGGCCCGAACCCACGCACGUUGAAAAGUGCGGGGAUGAGGUGUGGGUAGCGGAGAAAUUCCAAUCGAACCUGGAGAUAGCUGGUUCUCUCCGAAAUAGCUUUAGGGCUAGCCUCAUGUUGUGAGAGUCUUGGAGGUAGAGCACUGAUUGGACUAGGGGCCCCCAACGGGUUACCGAAUUCAGUCAAACUCCGAAUGCCAAAGACUUAUCCAUGGGAGUCAGACUGCGAGUGAUAAGAUCCGUAGUCAAAAGGGAAACAGCCCAGACCACCAGCUAAGGUCCCCAAGUAUACGUUAAGUGGAAAAGGAUGUGGAGUUGCUUAGACAACCAGGAUGUUGGCUUAGAAGCGUACCACCAUUUAAAGAGUGCGUAAUAGCUCACUGGUCGAGUGACUCUGCGCCGAAAAUGUACCGGGGCUAAACGUAUCACCGAAGCUGUGGAUUGACAUCUUUGAUGUCAGUGGUAGGAGAGCGUUCUAAGUGCUGUGAAGUCAGACCGUAAGGACUGGUGGAGCGCUUAGAAGUGAGAAUGCCGGUAUGAGUAGCGAAAGACAAGUGAGAAUCUUGUCCACCGAAUGCCUAAGGUUUCCUGAGGAAGGCUCGUCCGCUCAGGGUUAGUCGGGACCUAAGCCGAGGCUGAAAAGCGUAGGCGAUGGCCAACAGGUUGAUAUUCCUGUACCACCUCCCCGCCGUUUGAGUAAUGGGGGGACGCAGUAGGAUAGGGUAAGCGCGGCCGCUGGAUAUGCGCGUUCAAGCAGUUAGGCUGAUGAGUAGGCAAAUCCGCUCAUCAUAAAGGCUGAGCUGUGAUGACGAGGGAAUUAUAGUACCGAAGUUCCUGAUUCCACACUGCCAAGAAAAGCCUCUAGCGAGGCGGGAGGUGCCCGUACCGCAAACCGACACAGGUAGGCGAGGAGAGAAUCCUAAGGUGAUCGAGAGAACUCUCGUUAAGGAACUCGGCAAAAUGACCCCGUAACUUCGGGAGAAGGGGUGCUCUGGUAGGGUGUAUAGCCCGAGAGAGCCGCAGUGAAUAGGCCCAGGCGACUGUUUAGCAAAAACACAGGUCUCUGCGAAGCCGCAAGGCGAAGUAUAGGGGCUGACGCCUGCCCGGUGCUGGAAGGUUAAGAGGAGGGGUUAUCCUUUGGGAGAAGCUCUGAAUCGAAGCCCCAGUAAACGGCGGCCGUAACUAUAACGGUCCUAAGGUAGCGAAAUUCCUUGUCGGGUAAGUUCCGACCCGCACGAAAGGCGUAACGAUCUGGGCACUGUCUCAACGAGAGACUCGGUGAAAUUAUAGUCCCUGUGAAGAUGCAGGUUACCCGCGACAGGACGGAAAGACCCCGUGGAGCUUUACUGUAGCCUGAUAUUGAAUUUUGGUACAGCUUGUACAGUAUAGGUAGGAGCCUGAGAAGCCGGAGCGCUAGCUUCGGUGGAGGCGUCGGUGGGAUACUACCCUGGCUGUAUUGAAAUUCUAACCCGCGGCCCUGAUCGGGCCGGGAGACAGUGGCAGGUGGGCAGUUUGACUGGGGCGGUCGCCUCCUAAAAUGUAACGGAGGCGCCCAAAGGUUCCCUCAGAAUGGUUGGAAAUCAUUCGUAGAGUGUAAAGGCACAAGGGAGCUUGACUGCGAGACCUACAAGUCGAGCAGGGACGAAAGUCGGGCUUAGUGAUCCGGUGGUUCCGCAUGGAAGGGCCAUCGCUCAACGGAUAAAAGCUACCCCGGGGAUAACAGGCUUAUCUCCCCCAAGAGUCCACAUCGACGGGGAGGUUUGGCACCUCGAUGUCGGCUCAUCGCAUCCUGGGGCUGUAGUCGGUCCCAAGGGUUGGGCUGUUCGCCCAUUAAAGCGGUACGCGAGCUGGGUUCAGAACGUCGUGAGACAGUUCGGUCCCUAUCCGUCGUGGGCGUAGGAAAUUUGAGAGGAGCUGUCCUUAGUACGAGAGGACCGGGAUGGACACACCGCUGGUGUACCAGUUGUCUUGCCAAAGGCAUCGCUGGGUAGCUAUGUGUGGACGGGAUAAGUGCUGAAAGCAUCUAAGCAUGAAGCCCCCCUCAAGAUGAGAUUUCCCAUAGCGCAAGCUAGUAAGAUCCCUGAAAGAUGAUCAGGUUGAUAGGUCAGAGGUGGAAGCGUGGCGACAUGUGUAGCUGACUGAUACUAAUCGAUCGAGGACUUAACCAAAC